rnacentral:misc_RNA from 1 species
UACGGAGGGUGCUAGCGUUGUUCGAAAUCAUUGGGCGUAAAGCGCACGUAGGUGGUGGUUUAAGUCGACUGUGAAAGCCCUUGGCUUAACCAAGGAAGGUCAGUCGAAACUGGAUCACUUGAGUACGGGAGGGGAGAGCGGAAUUCCCAGUGUAGAGGUGAAAUUCGUAGAUAUUGGGAGGAACACCGGUGGCGAAAGCGGCUCUCUGGCCCGAUACUGACACUGAGGUGCGAAGGCGUGGGGAGCAAACAGG